UACGUAGGGGGCUAGCGUUGUCCGGAAUCAUUGGGCGUAAAGCGCGCGUAGGCGGCCCGGUAAGUCCGCUGUAAAAGUCAAAGGCUCAACCUUUGAAUGUCAGUGGAUACUGCCGGGCUAGAGUCCGGAAGAGGCGAGUGGAACUCCUGGUGUAGCGGUGGAAUGCGCAGAUAUCAGGAAGAACACCGGUGGCGAAGGCGGCCAUCUGGACGGUAACUGACGCUGAGACGCGAAAGCGUGGGUAGCAAACAGG
rnacentral:rRNA from 1 species